rnacentral:rRNA from 1 species
CCAGACUCCUACGGGAGGCAGCAGUGAGGAAUAUUGGUCAAUGGACGAGAGUCUGAACCAGCCAAGUAGCGUGAAGGAUGACUGCCCUAUGGGUUGUAAACUUCUUUUAUAUGGGAAUAAAAUGUUCCACGUGUGGGAUUUUGUAUGUACCAUAUGAAUAAGGAUCGGCUAACUCCGUGCCAGCAGCCGCGGUAAUACGGAGGAUCCGAGCGUUAUCCGGAUUUAUUGGGUUUAAAGGGAGCGUAGGUGGAUUGUUAAGUCAGUUGUGAAAGUUUGCGGCUCAACCGUAAAAUUGCAGUUGAAACUGGCAGUCUUGAGUACAGUUGAGGUAGGCGGAAUUCGUGGUGUAGCGGUGAAAUGCUUAGAUAUCACGAAGAACUCCGAUUGCGAAGGCAGCCUACUAAACUGCCACUGACAUUGAUGCUCGAAAGUGUGGGUAUCGAACAGGAUUAGAUACCCUCGUAC